AACGACCCCGAGACGGUCGCUCGUCGAACUUCGGCUUGGCGAGAGGAAAGUCCGGACACCACAAGGCAGCAUGCCCGGUGAAAAGCCGGGGACGCCCCGUGUAAUGCGGGGUGGACGGAAAGUGCCACAGAAAACAAACCGCCUGGCUCCGGCCCGGUAAGGGUGAAAUGGCGAGGUAAGAGCUCACCGCUCCGUCCGGCAACGGCGGAGGCAAGGCAAACCCCAUGCGGUGCAAGACAGAGCAGGGGAAACGGGCCGCCUGUCCGGUUUCGCUUCGGCGAUCUGUCCCCGGGUAUUAGUCGCACCUCGCUUCGGCGGGGAUCGGACGGGAGACCGGCCGAUAGAUAAAUGGUCGUCGCCCCGCUCCGGCGGGGAACAGAAUCCGGCUUAUGACGGGUCGUUCCAU
rnacentral:RNase_P_RNA from 1 species